UACGUAGGGGGCAAGCGUUGUCCGGAAUUAUUGGGCGUAAAGCGUGCGCAGGCGGUUCGUUAAGUUCGAUGUGAAAGCCCCGGGCUCAACCUGGGAACUGCAUUGGAAACUGGCGAGCUUGAAUGCGGCAGAGGGGGGUGGAAUUCCGCGUGUAGCAGUGAAAUGCGUAGAGAUGCGGAGGAACACCGAUGGCGAAGGCAGCCCCCUGGGCCGACAUUGACGCUCAGGCACGAAAGCGUGGGGAGCAAACAGG
rnacentral:rRNA from 1 species